AGGGUGAAAGUAUAAUAAAAUUGAUAUUUCUCCUUUUGCAAGGGAGAGAAGUCUAAAAGACUCACCUUA
rnacentral:tRNA from 1 species